rnacentral:rRNA from 1 species
GACGAACGCUGGCGGCGUGCCUAAUACAUGCAAGUAGAACGCUGAAGAGAGGAGCUUGCUCUUCUUGGAUGAGUUGCGAACGGGUGAGUAACGCGUAGGUAACCUGCCUUGUAGCGUGGGAUAACUAUUGGAAACGAUAGCUAAUACCGCAUAACAAUGGAUGACACAUGUCAUUUAUUUGAAAGGGGCAAUUGCUCCACUACAAGAUGGACCUGCGUUGUAUUAGCUAGUAGGUGAGGUAAUGGCUCAACUAGGCGACGAUACAUAGCCGACCUGAGAGGGUGGUCGGCCACACUGGGAAUGAGACACGGCCCAGAAUCCUACGGGAGGCAGCAGUAGGGAAUCUUCGGCAAUAGGGGCAACCCUGACCGAGCAAAGCCGCGUGAGUGAAGAAGGUUUUCGGAUCGUAAAGAUCUGUUGUAAGUCAAGAACGGGUGUGAGAGUGGAAAGUUCACACUGUGACGGUAGCUUACCAGAAAGGGACGGCUAACUACGUG